CACGUAGGGUGCGAGCGUUGUCCGGAAUUAUUGGGCGUAAAGAGCUCGUAGGCGGUGUGUCGCGUCGGCCGUGAAAACCUGCAGCUUAACUGUGGGCUUGCGGUCGAUACGGGCAUCACUGGAGUUCGGCAGGGGAGACUGGAAUUCCUGGUGUAGCGGUGAAAUGCGCAGAUAUCAGGAGGAACACCCGUAGCGAAGGCGGCGCUCUGGGCCGGUACUGACGCUGAGGAGCGAAAGCGUGGGGAGCAAACAGG
rnacentral:rRNA from 1 species